CCCUGGAGCCGAGCCGCCAAGGGGAGGGACUGGGCGGCUCUCCCCCGCCCCCUUGGCCCGCAGUGGACCUCCGCGCUCCACACUGGGCAGCCCCCGCAGGUCAGGUAAAUAGGUGGGACUCCACCACUGUUUGUCCCUGGUCCUAGUGACUUUCCUCUUCGUGUCUUCCAGCCAGGCCUCACCCCUCAGGCCUGGGGCCCGGAGGCACCAGCGGCCUCCCUCUCAAGGCCUCCCAGCAGGGAUGGCCUUCAGAGGCCAGGAGCACAGUGAAAAUUCCUGCCCAGAGAGGAGGAGGGGGCAGGGAAGGAGGGGGCAGGUGCAACUUUGACCCAGGUAAGUGACUGUGGAAGAGCGGAUGCAAAGGCAGAAUCAACUUGGAGUGUUCCAGGAACCUCCAGAAGAGCAUUAAGCAGAGGACACGGUUAGUCGUUGUUAGGGUUUGAAUAUGGGUGUCCUCCAAAAGGCCAGGUGCUGACACAGGAGGGGCGCGAUUACAGUCUGCGCGCUGUAGCCCAAUCGGGAUUAUUGGGUGGCAACUGCAGGCACAUCCUGUAGGGUUGGAGGAGGUGGGUCACCAGGGGUGUGCUUGGAGGCUGUAUAUUAUGUCCCUGGCUCCUGGUGCUGUUUCUGCAUCACCGUGACGUGAAAGGCUUUUCUUUGCUACAUUCUUCUCCUAUCAACUUCUGCCUCAUCUCAGGCCCAGAGCAACGUUCAGCCAACCACAGAACCUCUGAAGCUAGGAGCCAAAGGCAACUUUUCUUCCUCUACCUUGUUCUCAUCAGAUUCAGCUCCUGCAGGCUGAGGGAGAUGCAUCCUCUGACGGGAGGUUCUAGAAGUGUCCUGGGAAUGACGACUGGCCUGGGCCUUCACCCUACUCUGCCAGGUCAGAGGCACUGCAUGCACUUGUACGUGUGCACCCCAGACCCUCUGAUGCCAGCACUCACCCACCCUGCCCAGAGACAGGCACCAGGAAGGAGCCUAAGGGCUGGGAGACCUCGUCAGAGCCUCCAGUCCCUGUGGCUGGCCUGGACCUGGGGGCAUGUGUUCCUGCAGCUCUGACCUCCUUUCCAUGCUGUAGGCCCUGAAGAGCCAUAGCCUCAGCAACAAGCCUCUCUACAUCUCCAUGGGCCACAAGAUGAGCCUGGAGGCAGCCGUGUGCCUGAUCUGAUGCUGCUGCAGGUUCUGGAUCCCAGAGUCCUUGUGCCAAGCGGGGUUCAGCACAUGCUCCUCCACUUCUCACCAUUUGUCAGCUGAGCUGGAGUCACAGAGCAGUGGUUUGAGGACAAGAUGUCCUGGGCUGAGGGCAAGUCCAGGACCCACUUGCUGGGGAUGCUCAGGCAGCUCAGCCAGAGCAGGGAGGUGUACAGCAAGCAGGAGCCAGACCUCACUGCAGGCGCUCAGAGCCAGUGCAGGGCUUCAGAUCUGCCUUCUUCAUGCAGCAGCUCCUUGUGUGCUACCAGGCCUUUGGGCCUUUGGGAGGAGCUGGGGGCAUGGUCUGCACCUGACACCCUGCCUUCCUCAGCCCAGCCCUGGAGACUGCUGAGGGGUGGGGCAGAGGGCCCUGGACAUGGGCUUGAAGAGGCAACUGAGAGGAAGGGCAUAGUGGGUGACCCUCCUGCAGCCCGUCUCAUCCCCCAUCUUUCAUGUACCAGUUUGCCCCUCAGACUCCAGGCUCCCAGAGUGGAGUUGACAGAGGGUAGGCGGGGCUGGCUGCCAGACCUGUGGGCUCCAUUUCCCCAGUUCCAGAUCAAGAUGAAAGAAUGGGGCCAACAAUGGAGAAGAGGAGGGAGGUGUGCUGUCCUUAAAGAAAUGGAGAAUGGAGAGAAACCAUGUCCCUGAGAUGCCCUGGUCUAUUCCCAAGCACAUUAAGCCCAGACCAGAAUGUCCAGAAAAAUUGGAUAGGAGGAAUCAUGUCCCAACUCACCUCCUCAUGGACAGAUUGCCCUGAUCCCCAAACCUAAGACAGUACGGGAAACACCAAACCCACAGAGCAGGGACCCUCACUACCUGCAUGCAUUUGUGGCUUCUACUGAGCCAAACAGAAAAUAUAGAGAUGGGGAGGGGAUGCCCACUUUGGGAUGUAGCUUAAUAGCAUGAUUGUACUUAAAAAACACACACACAUUUAAAAUGUUUUAAAAGCAUUCUCUGACAAGGUUGGAAAACUCUCUGAACCUUCAUGGAGAUAAAGGUGGAAGCUCAAGAAACCACCUGCACUCUGCUACCUGGAGCUCCCACCCCUGUGAGACACAAGCAGCUGCUUCCCGGGAAGAUGGUCAGAGAUGGAGGAGGCCGCAGACGUUCACCAGGGUCAGGACUCACAGGUUUAGGAAGGUCCAGAGGGCUAGAGUCCUGAGGAAUCCUCAAGCCAGUGCCAGUCCCUGGUGCUGUGCUCUCCUCAGGCACCUGGCCUGGCUGCAUGUGCCCUUUGAUGAAGCUCUCUGGGAAUCAGUUCCUCAGGGACCUGGGAUGCCAUGUCUUCUUCAUUUACAGACCUAUUCUGGACCCACCAGAAUAAUGGAUGGAUUAUAGAUAACUUUUAUUUUUGAUGAGUGUAAAGAAACAUGUGCUUUAACAUCUCUAAACCAAGAUUCUGUCUUUAGAUGGUUAUAAAUAAAGGACUGCCUCAGCUGGUCCGUGGGUGUCUCCUCAAAUUCCCCUCCCCUCCAGCCCCCCAGAAUGCAAUGGAAUUUGAAGACAGGGCCUUCAAAGAGGGAAGCUGAAGCUCUCCAGGUGGGCCCUAAUCCAGUCUGGUGGGUACCUUUUUAAGAACAGAUUAGGACAUGGACAUUCACAGACAGGUCACUAUGUAGCGCACAGAUGGCACCUACAAGCUGUUAGGUGCAGGACAGGCUGAGUAAGCUGUCGGCAGGGCAGGCCAAACAAAGUUAGCUGCAGGGUGACCUGGCCUCUCAAACCCUCUGUCUGGCUCUUUAUCACCUGUUUGCUUCAAGCCC